UUUAUUUCAAAAAAAGUCUUUUAAUUGUUCAAAAUAGCACAAAACGACAUUGCACUAUGGUAAUAUUGUGUCACGGGGGUUACUCUACAAUAGAACGGGCGUACCGUUCUUAGAAACGAUAAAUCAAAGGGUGCUUGGGACGAGGGACAGGGAAACAAUGAAACCAGGCGAAUGGGCUCCAGGGUGAAAAUGUUCCCCUAAACAUGACAUUUGCCACAC